AUGCCAUGGAGGCUGUCAAGUGGGGCACUGACUAUCUCAUCAAAGCCCAUCCAGAGCCCAAUGUUCUCUAUGGAGAGGUGGGGGAUGGUAACACAGAUCACUACUGCUGGCAGCGGCCGGAGGACAUGACAACUAGCCGGGCCGCCUACCGCGUCGACGCCGACCAUCCUGGCUCUGACCUCGCCGGCGAGACUGCCGCCGCUAUGGCCGCCGCCUCCGCUGUCUUCCGCCACUCGGAUCCGGGCUACUCCAACCUCCUCCUCACCCAUGCCCGCGAGCUUUUCGAAUUUGCGGACAAGUACCGAGGGAAGUAUGAUGGCAGUAUCACCGUGGCUCAGAAGUACUACCAAUCCUACAGCGGAUAUGGGGAUGAGUUGCUGUGGGCUGCAUCCUGGCUGUAUCAGGCGACUAAUGAGCACUACUACCUGGAUUACCUUGGUAACAAUGGCGUAGCCCUCGGUGGCACCGGUUGGGCCAUGACUGAGUUUGGCUGGGAUGUUAAGUAUGCUGGCAUGCAAGUCCUUGCUUCCAAGUUCCUCCUCCAAGGGAAGGCAGAUCAGCACUCUCCUGUGUUUGAGAAGUACCAGCAGAAAGCCG
rnacentral:misc_RNA from 1 species